AUUGAACGCUGGCGGAAUGCUUUACACAUGCAAGUCGAACGGUAGAGGGGGCAACCCCUCGAGAGUGGCGAACGGGUGAGUAAUAUAUCGGAACGUGCCCAGUCGUGGGGGAUAACGUAGCGAAAGUUACGCUAAUACCGCAUACGAUCUAAGGAUGAAAGCGGGGGAUCGCAAGACCUCGCGCGAUUGGAGCGGCCGAUAUCAGAUUAGGUAGUUGGUGGGGUAAAGGCUCACCAAGCCAACGAUCUGUAGCUGGUCUGAGAGGACGACCAGCAACACUGGAAAUGAGACACGGUCCAGACUCCUACGGGAGGCAGCAGUGGGGAAUUUUGGACAAUGGACGCAAGUCUGAUCCAGCCAUUCCGCGUGCAGGAUGAAGGCCCUCGGGUUGUAAACUGCUUUUGUACGGAACGAAAAGGUCUCUCUUAAUACGGGGGACUCAUGACGGUACCGUAAGAAUAAGCACCGGCUAACUACGUGCCAGCCGCCGCCGUAA
rnacentral:rRNA from 1 species